AAGUUAAAGGAUGUGGGUGUUUUGACCCAGCAGCUUCUGGUUUGUUGAAACCAUGAGAAAAAUUUUGAGCAAGAUUGAAAAGUUACACCCUAGAGACAACAUUCAAGCCUGGGCCAUUCUUGCUGUGUGCAUAUACAUAACAGCAUCAGAAGCUGCCAGCUUUGCCCCAAAAAGGAAAUGAACCUCUGUGCAUUUUAUUUCAUCUGUUAAUCUCAAACUGCCCCGAGAAUGGCUCAAUGUGUC